rnacentral:rRNA from 1 species
UACGUAGGGGGCUAGCGUUGUCCGGAAUCAUUGGGCGUAAAGAGCUCGUAGGCGGCUCGGUAAGUGAGGUGUGAAAACUCCAGGCUCAACCUGGAGACGCCACCUCAUACUGCCGUGGCUAGAGUCCGGUAGGGGAGCAUGGAAUUCCUGGUGUAGCGGUGAAAUGCGCAGAUAUCAGGAGGAACACCUAUUGCGAAGGCAGCUCGCUGGGACGUUACUGACGCUGGAGGAGCGAAAGCAUGGGGAGCGAACAGG